GGGUACUUCGUCUGUAUGUUACGAAGCCAGUGGCUUCAGAAAAGUUAAAAAAACUUACAUUCUUUGUAGUAAAGGUUUAUGCGCCAUUUUGGUUUUUAAUAAAAAAAAAAGCCGAAAGCCAUAAAUGGCAGCCGACACUUACUACAGUAUAUUAAAUGGAUUCGACAAUUGCCUACAGAUAUGCAAGAAACUGUACAACACUCUGUGCAAAUUAAUGGGUUUUUCGCUCAUCCGGAAAAUGUUUUAUUAUCAAUGAUAACAGACCAGGAUAAACCAGUACGAAAUGAAGGAUAUGACAAAAUUUUUGAAUUUCGUGCGCAUGGAGUUCAUAACAUUCGUCAGUUUUCGUGCCAAGAAUAAUUUUUGAUGCUACGUCGUUAACGAAUUUAAUUGACUGGGACGAAGUUGGAAAUGUUACAGAACCGCCAUGUUUACAAUUUUAUUCGGAUGAUGUUUUGAUUUCUUUUUACAAUUCCGACAAAGUUAUCAAAAUUCCAGACUUUCCUUGUCAUUCGCAAAACACUGAGCGGUUUGUACAAAUCGUGGCUCAAUCCAGUACCUCAGUCAUUGAAAAAAAUCGUCUUGGUUAUAUUGCUAAUAAAAUAGAAUCACGCAAAUGUUACAAACGACUCAAUUCACGAAAGGAUUUUUAUGAUUUUUAUGAGGA